CCGACCUUGUCAUUAACUCUUAUCGAGAAACAAUUGGAGAAUUCGAGUGAAUUCUAAUUGUUCGUCCCGCUUGAAACGAUGUCCGGACUUGUUGACGCUACCACGGUACCUAUGUGGGUGAAAUAUGUGGUUUUGUUUACGACUGGAGGCACUGCUCUGAUGUACCUGGAAGGGGCUUACCGACGUUAUAUUGUCAGACAGGUUAUCCGAAAAAGAAAAGAGAAAGCACAAAUGGCGAUGGAACGUGUGCGUACACAAGUGAACGAACAACAGGUGGAUGGUAAGCUGUCUGCCGACAUUUUAAACAUGACAGCAGUGCAACUCCAAACUGCUCUACAGGCCGGAAAAGUAAAAGCUGUCGACGUUCUCCAGACAUACCAGAAAAAAGCGAUUCAGGAGAACGACAGAUUCAAUUUCAUUUUGGAACCUAUUCUGGAAGCAAGGGACUUAGCGGAGGCACGUGAUCAACAACAGGACAAUAAAAAAAAAUUACAUGGAAUUCCAAUUAGUGUCAAAGAAAGCUUUAAUUUUAAGGGUCAGGAUACCACCGGCGGAUGUGCGUCAUUGAUAGGAAAACUGGCACGUGAGGACGCCGUACUCGUCCAGGUGCUGAAGGACCAGGGGGCUGUUCCUUUUGUAAGAACCAAUAUCCCACAGACAAUGUUGAGUUUCGACUGUUCCAACCCUAUCUACGGUAAGACCCUCAACCCUCACGACCCUACCCGUACCCCCGGGGGUUCGUCCGGUGGGGAAGGGGCGAUCCUCGCUUCAGAAGCCUCCAUUUUAGGACUUGGAUCAGAUAUUGCUGGAAGCGUGCGGAUACCUUGUCAUUUCUGUGGUGUUACAGGACUGAAGCCAACUCAUGGAAGAUUAAGUACAAAGGGGAUGCUAAGUUUCUCAUCGCAUCAAAAUAUUGUAAGCGCAGUGGGAGGUCCGAUGGCCCGUGACGUGGAUGGCGUGGUACUAUUGAUGAAAGCUCUCCUGUCUCCCCUUCAUUUCAAACUGGACCCGUCUGUACCGCCGAUUCCAUUUCAAGAUAAGGAGUACGCUGACACCAGACGUCUCCGUAUCGGGUAUUACACCAGCCACGGGUAUGUGGACCCUGUCCCGGCGUGCACGCGGGCAGUCCUCAUCACAAAGGAGGCGCUGGAACAGAAAGGACAUACGCUUAUACCAUUCGAGCCGCCUAGAAUACCCUACGCCAUUUCCCAACUGUAUAUGAAAGUAGUCUGUGGAGACGGAGGGAAGUCUGUAACCGAGUAUAUGGAAGAUGACGUAGUAGACCCCAGUAUGAGUAUGAUGAUGUUCAACAAUCGUCGGUCACACCCAGUCCGGCAUUUUCUCGCGAGUCUGGCCGGAUGGCUGUCUAACGACAAGACGCAUGAGCAGAUGCUUAGAUCUAUGAUUGGCUGCAACAAUACAAAGAUGAGUUCUACGACGCCUGGACACGUCAGAAGCUGGAUGUUGUUAUCUGUCCUCAGUUUGGCUUCGUCGCUCCUCCGUACGGCUACCUAUUUAAAACAUUUGGCGGAGGUAUAUUUGCCCCUAUAUAUAACCUACUUAAUUACCCCGCUGGGUGCCUCCCAGUGACCGCAGUAUCAGCCAAUGACAUUGAUGGCAUGAAGAACUAUCCAGAAAACACAGCGUUCGAGAAAAAUAUCAAAAAGGUAACUGAAGGAUCCGAGGGUCUACCUGUGGGACUCCAGGUGGUAGGCCAACAAUGGCAGGAGGAACUCGUCCUAAGAGUUAUGA
rnacentral:misc_RNA from 1 species